GGCCAACCACAAUUUGCACUUCCUUCUCUAUUCUGGUGUCACUCUAACCCUAAAAUUUUUAGCUCCUCUACUCCUUUCUCUCUACCACUGCAUCUCACCUUUCCCCAUGUGCUCUCAUCUUUUAUUUUUCCUUUCUUUUCUCCCUAAGUGUCGCCGCUUGCCCCCACCAUCAUAGGGUCGUCGUCCUCUUUUCUUUCCCAUUCCCAUCGUCGCACAUUGCACCACCAUUAAGCGAUUGUUUUCUUUUCUUUUCUUCCUAAAAUUGCCUACUUUACACUGUCGAUCUCUUCUUAUUUCUUUUUAUCAUUGCCACAACUACCACAUUGGUAGACUGUUGUGUUUCUUCCUUCUUCUUUUUUUCUUGUUUUUGCUUACCACACCUUUGAACCAUCAAACUUCUUGAUUAUUACCUUGUUGCUGCUGCCUCUACUAAUAUUCGGGCUGCCGAUUUUCCUUCCCUCAUUGUAGGAUUCCUUAUUCACUCGAUACACUAUUCAUGAUUAGAUCCAUAGUCUUUAGCAACAAAUCGGUAAGUUAUACAUUUGUAUUGGUUAGACAUUAAUUCCUAGAAAUUUAAUUGAAUUGUUGUUCUUUCUUCUUUUCAGUUUAAUCGAUUACAUUUAGAUCUAACCAAAACUUUGUCAAUUGGUUCUAACAUUAAGUGGUUUUGUGUGAACGAUGUUAAAGGGCCAAAUCUGGGAGAGGCAGAUCAGAUUUGAACUUGAGGAGUGUCGAACAAACUAGUAGCGAAGGUGUGUGUUUUGACUAAUGUUGUCGUGUGUGUGUGUCAACAUUCGGCCGAAUGUAUACGUGCUUCCCUUGUGAUUUUUGGUUGUUAAUGUCAUAUCUUGAUGAUGAUUAAAUGUUUCUAAUGGCUUCGAUUUUUCUAAGUAACCCUAGAUCUGAUCUAAAAAUAAACUUUGAUCUGGUAUUGAAAAAUCAUCGAUUCAAUUCAGUGGGUAAUGAAACUGUGUACGGAAGAUCUAAUUUUUGUAUGCUACCAUUUUUCUGAAUUGUUAUGUUGAUCAUGUAUGUGAUGUCAAAUUUGUGUUUAAUCUACCAUUGCUACUGAUGCAUGUUUACUGCUACUGUUAAAAUUACAAAUCAUUACUGAAUGCAUGAAAGUUGUAUGUCAAUACUGCUAUUGUUACUAUUUUUUGAUUUGUAAAAACAUGUCAUAAUAUUGCAUUGGGAUUGGGAUAUUGAAGGUGGAAAUACAGGCUCUAAAUGCCGGAUUGUUUCGCCGAUCAAAACUAUUAUUAUACUAGCAGUUCAUCCAAAAAAUAUUAUUUUGGCGUGUAGGGAUGGAUGAGUUAUGGGGGAACUCUUACUGUGAAGUGUGGCCGAUGCUUGGGUAUAGAGGUGCUCAUGGGCCGGGCCGGGCCCAGAAAAAUUUUGGCCCGGGUCCUAGGCUCGGGCCCGGCCCGAAAUAUGGGCUUAGAAUUUUGCCCAGGCCCGGCCCGGGAAAAAAUUCAUAAGCCCAGGCCCGGCCCGGCCCGUUUUUUAAAUAAAUACCAAAAAUUUAUUUUAAAAAUUAAAACAAAAAUUAAAAAAAUAUUUUAAAAUUAAAAAAAUUAAAAAGUAUUUUUA
rnacentral:lncRNA from 1 species